UCUUGACGUGCCUUGGACUAAAUGGAGUUCUUAAUAUGACACUGCAGUUUUUAGGGCUAUUCAAAGAUAAGAGAUAUAUGGUCAAAUACGGUGUGAAAUAUGGGCAACUGUAAAGUAGUUGAAUACUGAAUAAGCACUUAAGUCAAAUGAAAUUUUUUAAACUUAGAAUAGUUCAAACAAAAGCCUAGAGGUACUAGGAGACCAGUUAGUAGUUGAUAGCUAUUUGAGUGGGGUGUGGGAGAAUGCUGCUAGAUGAAAGUCUACUUGAGGUUGAAUCUUGUCAACAUUUUAGAAAAUAAUUUAGGUUAAGUUCUUUAGUUAAAAAGCUUAAAUAAAGAUAUGGGUAGAUGGCUCAUUCUGGGAGUUGAAACUGCUUCCACCAAGAAUAAAAUGUUCCUCCAUGAGAAAUAUGAGCUCCCUGUGUCUACUGCCCUAAAUAAAGAAAGCUCCAUCAUCUUUCUGAGGUCAGUGCUAAUGUCCCCAGACUUCCAAGAGUUUAACAUCUCCAAGUUCUUCACCAGUCAAAUGAGCAGAAUUUAACAAGAAAGAACUUGCCUUUACCGUUCUAAAGAAAAGCUAAAACUGCAACCUGCCUAAGCCUAAUUUCCCAAGUAAAACAUGCCAUUAAGCAAGAUAGGAACAGGGAUACAGAAAGGGGAUGGAAGCUGAGCAGCUGAGAUCAGGAUGGGAUCAGGAGAUGCACAAAAUAUUUUUAAAAGCAGAAAUUCAGUACUCUAGCCACAUGUAACAGGGAAACAUCUUGUUUGAACUACUCUGUCCUGGUAUUUCAAUAGGAGGGGCCCUGCUAAUCCUUGGAUAGAAUUAUUUUAGAACUGAAAGAGAAUUUAGAGAUUAUCUAGUCCAGUUCCCUCACUUGAGGACACUUAGGCCCUGAGAGAUUAAAAGCUUUCUGGGAUCAUGCAGUAAAUUAGUUACAGAAAUGGAAUUAUAACCCCAAAACCUCCUGAUGCUCACUGAGAUGUUCUUUCCACUAUAACACCAAUCUUCUCAUGGCUCUUUUCAUGGAAAUUCUAAGAGAGGCAGUAUGAUAUAGUGGAAAGAUAACGUUAUUAACUAUAUUUCUGAGUCUUAGUCUUCUCCCUCCUAGUUUGAAUAACUAAAUCCUAGAAGUCAAGACUUCAUUUAGUUCAACUUGCCACCCAAAGAAAGAAACCCCUACAUCAUAUUCAUGAGCAAUGAGGUAGACGGCCAGGCUCCUAUGAAUCCCUCCUGGGGAGGUUCUAACUACCUAGGAGGAUACUGAUACUUAACUGUACGAUGACCUGAAAUCUUCUGAAGCUUCUGUGAAACUUCAAUUUUGACCUCCAGGAUGGGGCUUCUAUCUCUUCUACAUGUGAGCAUGGCUCAUUUAGUUCAACAAACAUUCACUAAAAGCCCAUACUUGCUAGAUUUGGGAGCUUUAACCUGGAAUUAUAAGGCUGGCAUUGAGGAACACAUAAUCUAGUCAGAGAGAUGAUCCUUAAUUACUAUUAAAUAAGAGAAUGCAUGUCUGCAAGUGCUAAACACAUGUAAAUACUCAAUAAAUAUAAGGUACUAUUCUUAAUAACUAUUAUAUAGCUCUUUAAUCAUCUUGUAUUCAGAUUAUAUUUUCACUCCCUUUAAGCACAUAGCAUAAAAUAUGGCUUAUAGAUCAGGGGUCAGCAAACUUUCUAUAAUGGGGCCAGACUAUAAGUAUUUCAAGUUUUGCAAGCCAUAUAUCUCUGUCCAACUACUCAACUCAAUAUUUCUAACAUGAAAGCAACCACAGAAGAUGUGAAUUAAUGGGUGUUGCUGUGUUUCAAUAAAACUUGACUUAUAACAAUAGAGGGCUGGCCAGGUUAGACCACAGGCCAUAGUCUGCCAUCCUCUGCAAUAGAUGCUUUACCAUCCUCACCACCCUCAUUUAGCUUGUCAAUGUCCCUUUUAAAAUGUGUCAUUGAAAGCUAACCAGUCUAUUCUAAAUAUGGAAGGACCAGUAAAAAAUACAGUAGUUUUGAGAGUUCCUGCUGUGGGGCAGCAGAUUAACCAUCUGGCAUUGCUUCUGCAACAGCACAGGUUUGAUCCCCAGCCCAGCACAGUGACUUAAGGAUCCAGCGUUGUCAUAGCUGAGGUGUAGCUCACUGGCCCAAGAACUUCCAUAUGGUUCUGUGGGUGUGGCCAAAAAAAAAAUACAAUAGGGUUAUUAAAUGCCAUGAAUGGGAUACUAUAAAUCAGAGUUCUCCCUAUGGCACCACGGUAUCAGUGGCAUCUUGGGAGUGCUGGGAUGCAGAUUCAAUCCCCAGCCUGGCACUGUGGGUUAAGGAUCUGGUGUUGCCGUAGCUGCGGCUUAGGUCAAAUCUGAAACUCAGAUCUGAUCCCUGGCCUGAGAACUCUAUGUGCCAUGGGGCAGCCCAAAAAAAAAAAAAAAGGAUACUUGGGAGUUCCUGUUGGGGCGCAGUGGAAACGAAUUCAACUAGGAAACAUGAGGUUGUGGGUUCCAUCUCUGGCCUCACUCAAUGGGUUAAGGAUCUGGCGUUGCCAUUAGCUGUAGUGUGGGUUGCAGACUCAGCUCGGAUCUGGUUUCAAGAUGGCCACUUUUUUAAAUAAGAAAAGAACUUAGGUUAAUUUAUUUUUGGUUGACAAUGCACUUUCAGAAAAAUUCUAAUUUUACACACUGCAUCCCAUUAUUGGCUUAUAUUGGUCUUGAGCUCAAUUAGAAAUCCCAGAAUAAGGAUGAGGUGCUUUACCUAGUCAUAUGUAAAUUAUAUUGUAUUAAGUCACAUCUACAUU
rnacentral:lncRNA from 1 species